rnacentral:miRNA from 1 species
CCCUUCCUGGUAUUUGAAGACG